AAAUUGAAGAGUUUGAUCAUGGCUCAGAUUGAACGCUGGCGGCAGGCCUAACACAUGCAAGUCGAACGGUAACAGGAAGCAGCUUGCUGCUUUGCUGACGAGUGGCGGACGGGUGAGUAAUGUCUGGGAAACUGCCUGAUGGAGGGGGAUAACUACUGGAAACGGUGGCUAAUACCGCAUAACGUCGCAAGACCAAAGAGGGGGACCUUCGGGCCUCUUGCCAUCAGAUGUGCCCAGAUGGGAUUAGCUUGUUGGUGAGGUAACGGCUCACCAAGGCGACGAUCCCUAGCUGGUCUGAGAGGAUGACCAGCCACACUGGAACUGAGACACGGUCCAGACUCCUACGGGAGGCAGCAGUGGGGAAU
rnacentral:rRNA from 1 species